GGCCAGGUGGCUCAGUUGGUUGGAGCAUCAUCCUGUACACUAAAAGGUUGUGGGUUCAAUUCCCAUCAUGGCAC
rnacentral:tRNA from 1 species